AGCGAGCGUUAGCGGCGGGCCUAACACAUGCAAGUCGAACGCGAAAGGUCUUCGGACUGAGUAGAGUGGCGCACGGGUGAGUAACACGUAGGUAAUCUACCCUUUGGCGGGGGAUAACGUUCCGAAAGGAGCGCUAAUACCGCAUAAGACCACGGAGUCUCCGGACGCUGUGGGAAAAGGUGGCCUCUUCUUGAAAGCUACCACCGAAGGAUGAGCCUGCGUCCCAUCAGCUAGUUGGUAAGGUAAUGGCUUACCAAGGCGAAGACGGGUAGCUGGUUUGAGAGAAUGAUCAGCCACACUGGCACUGGAACACGGGCCAGACUCCUACGGGAGGCAGCAGUGAGGAAUAUUGGGCAAUGGGCGAAAGCCUGACCCAGCCACGCCGCGUGAGUGAUGAAGGCCCUCAGGUUGUAAAGCCCUGUCGGGAGGGACGAAUCAAUGACGGUACCUCCCAAGAAAGCACCGGCUAACUCCGUGCCAGCAGCCGCGGUAAAGUACAGUGU
rnacentral:rRNA from 1 species